AUACACCAAAGCCAGGAUCCCAGGUUUGUUCUGCUUUUUUACUUUAAUAUAUUAGAAUCAAUUUGGAAGAAUUGUGUGUGUUCAUGUUUUCCAUUUUGUUAUAUAAUUAUUUCUUCUUGCUAACAUUCUAUCGUUUGGGAACUGAACUUAGAAAUAGCUUGCUUAGUAGCAUCUUUGUUGUUUUAGCUUUCUAUCUUGUUUAUUAGUAGUAAUUCAUCUGAUUUCUGGCAAUAUCCUGUUACAAUUGCAGGCUGCAAAGUCAGAGAAAAAU
rnacentral:misc_RNA from 1 species